CUGUGAUGCCCUUAGAUGUUCUGGGCCGCACGCGCGCUACAAUGAUGAAUUCAACAAGUUUAUAACCUUGGUUGAAAAGCCUGGGUAAUCUUUUGAACUUUCAUCGUGAUGGGGCUAGACCCUUGUAAUUAUUGGUCUCCAACGAGGAAUUCCUAGUAAACGCAAGUCAUCAGCUUGCAUUGAUUACGUCCCUGCCCUUU
rnacentral:rRNA from 1 species